ensembl:lncRNA
UAAAGCCUUUCUCUCUCCCCAUCUCCACCCCCACCAUGUCUUCAUUUUCUGGACCCAUUCUCACACUCACCAUCAGCUGUGGAACUGCAGAUGUCCUGGGUGCUCACAGCAGUACCUGCACCGUGGAGCAGAGAGGGGUUUGGUUAGAGGGACAGUGUCCUGCACACCCACAUGUUUCUGUCCAUGUCUCCAGUCUUCAGUAGUCACCACUCCACAAGUGUAUCCCCUUCCUGUAUCGCCACUGUCUCCAUUUGAGCAAGCCUAAAUCCAUUUGGGAUAGGUUUUCUUUUCCAGAUGCAGUCUCCUCUACUUCCAGAAUCAUGCUUUGGGUGCAAGACUCCAUCCCACGCGUACUCUACCUCCACCCUCGGUACCAUCUCAAGCCUCUUUGUGCGGGGCUUCUUCCUCCAAGCAGGGUUCCCUGCUACCCAAAGCAGCCCCAACUCACCAAACACCAGCAGCAGGAGGACAUGGACAUGGGGACACGGCAUGGCCCAUCCCACCUGCCCGCACAUCUUUUGGAGAUCUCUCCUCACGGUUCCUGCUUUGCUGUGAGCUGGGUGCAGAUGGUCACAGGCUUGUGUUGCGAGCCUAGGACACGUGCUGUGUGUUUCUGCAGCUGACAGAGAGUUAGUCACAGCGAGAGGCUGUGAUGCAGCCCAUGAUGCAUUUCUCGCAUCUGCAGAGCCCCUGCUUUUAUUUCAGGACACAUAGAGCCCUUAGCAGGGGCCGUGCUUCCUGUCUCUUGGGGGGAGGAAACUUCUCCCUUUUCCCUCUUUUCCCCACCUCUUCUUACUGAGUGUGACCUCAUUCUGUAUGCAGCGUCCGUUUUAUCUCUUUUUGUCAGCUAUCUUGUCUCUGUCCCCUCCCAAGCUCCUGUUCAUCUCCAGCCUGCCAAAGAGCCAUAAAAUAGAGGUGCUUGGGUUGGAAGGGACAUUAAAGGGCAUGGAAUCACUUAUAGAAUUGUAAAAACCAGCAAAACAAACAAACAAACAAACAAACAGUAUAAGCACAGAAUUAAAGAAGCCGACACCGUACUGCCAUUAGUUAGGAGCUCAUUGCUUGUGUUCCAGUUGAGAAGGGCCACAGAUCAUUUUGUCCGGUCAAGAAGGGAAUGUAGGUGAAGUUUGGGAAAGCCCUACCUCCUGUUACUUUAUGUUUCUGAAGAAUGCCUGUUCGAAGAGAGUGCUUAGGUAAACUGCAUAUUCUGGAGAGCCACGUGGGGAUGGGCCCAGAUCUUGCUCAGUUGAUGAAACUCAGCAGUGAGCCACUUGUAAUGAGCUGGUGCAUCCAUGCACAUACCCACAACUGCACUGAAGCUUCUGCAGCUACAG